GCAAAGACAAACCAUCUAAAUAGAGAGAUUAAUUCCACAUCAGUGCAACAUUAAAAGGGAGAGAGGAUGCCAAGAAUCCCAUUAAUUUGGGAUAUAAGUGUCUGAAAUUUCCUCAAAACGUUUACACCAAGGAAUACCAACAAGACAAUAUCAAGCAGCUCUCCCUAAGGAUAGAGAGGCAUAUUAAAACUAUAUAACCAACAGAACCAUUUAAAGGUAAACCAUUUAAAGGUUAACCAUUUGAAAACAUCACCCAAGUUCCGUGUCUGAAUGAAGGCUCUCUUCUCAAAUGCUCCUCAUUACUCCAGAGCAGCUAUAUUUGGAUUAUGAUUAAAACAAGGCUGUUUUUUCUU